rnacentral:rRNA from 1 species
AUACGGAGGGUGCAAGCGUUAUUCGGAAUCACUGGGCGUAAAGGACGCGUAGGCGGGUUGGCAAGUCAGAUGUGAGAUCCUACAGCUUAACUGUAGAACUGCAUUUGAAACUGCUAACCUAGAGUAUGGGAGGGGGAGAUGGAAUUAGUGGUGUAGGGGUAAAAUCCGUAGAUAUCACUAGGAAUACCGAAAGCGAAGGCGAUCUCCUGGAACAUAACUGACGCUAAGGCGUGAAAGCGUGGGGAGCAAACAGGAUUAGAUACCCUAGUAGUCC